rnacentral:rRNA from 1 species
AUGUGUAGAGGCUGUCGCGACAGCCCUGACCUGGCGCAGACUGAAUUGGCCUCCUCCCGUGAUGAGCUGCUUCUUCUCCAACGGUGGGUUGAUGAUGCUGAGUCCGUCGCCCGGCUAAAUAGGGAGGAAAUUCUCCAAGGGCAGACGCUGGAGCACAUGCAUGGCCCCAUGCUCCAAACACUCAGGGACAGGGCCAAUACGACCCUGGGCAACAUCUGUGAUGCGACUGCUCUGCAACCCCAUGUCAACAACUAUGCAGGUCAUCUCCAAUUCUUUACUGACGUGGUGACGCAUCUGGAGAAUCGCUCUGAGAGAGCUUGCCAGCUUGUCGAGGAGAGGAGCCGCAGCCUGCUCGCGCGUGCAUUCUCCCGUGUCUUCAGCCACCUCCAAGAUAGGGGCCCUCACUUUGAUUUUGACGCUGCCAUUGCUCCCGUGCCCGCGGCCAUCCGAGGCGACCUGGCGCGGUGGGUGGAGCACAACAUAGACGCUCUUGUCCGGGCCUUCACCUCUGAUGACGACGGGGUGGUAGUUGCUGCGGAUGAAGGUGAUGUGGUGAACGACGGCGAAGAUGGCGCCAACGACGGUGAUGGUGAAGCCAGCGACAGCGACAAUGGCGCCAGUGAUUCUUCUGGAGACGGUCAAGAGGAUGCGGUGAGUGAUAACCCACAAGUGUAG